rnacentral:rRNA from 1 species
GACGAACCGUGCGAACGUUAUUCGGAAUCACUGGGCUUAAAGCGCGUGUAGGCGGGACGGCACGUCUGUCGCUGAAAUCCCACGGCUCAACCGUGGAACUGCUGGGUAUACUGGUUGUCUUGAGCCAGCUAGGGGCGAGCGGAACAGACGGUGGAGCGGUGAAAUGCGUAGAUAUCGUCUGGAACGCCGAAGGUGAAAACAGCUCGCUGGGGCUGCGCUGACGCUGAGACACGAAAGCCAGGGGAGCGAACGGG